CUGUCUCAUUAUAUGACUGUUCCCAAUUUUUCCCAUCAAAAUUGCCUCUCAUGUAGCAGAUUGAGCAGUUGCAGUCCCAUACGACCACACUGGAAGGAGCAAUCACUUUCCACCUUACACACUCUUACAAUGGCAGCCUCCAUUAUGCACCACUGUUUCACCUUCCAUUUCAGGACUCUAAACAACAAUGAUUAUCAAUGAAACUGAGUUAAAGGAAUAAUUUGGAAUUGUGUUGUUACUUGAGGCAUGGCAUAUACUAGUUAGAAAUUCAGUAACAAAUAGGUUUUGU
rnacentral:lncRNA from 1 species